rnacentral:rRNA from 1 species
GUGGGGAAUUUUGGACAAUGGGCGCAAGCCUGAUCCAGCAAUGCCGCGUGCAGGAAGAAGGCCUUCGGGUUGUAAACUGCUUUUGUACGGAACGAAACGGUCCUGGUUAAUACCCGGGGCUAAUGACGGUACCGUAAGAAUAAGCACCGGCUAACUACGUGCCAGCAGCCGCGGUAAUACGUAGGGUGCAAGCGUUAAUCGGAAUUACUGGGCGUAAAGCGUGCGCAGGCGGUGCUGUAAGACAGGCGUGAAAUCCCCGGGCUUAACCUGGGAAUUGCGCUUGUGACUGCAGUGCUGGAGUGCGGCAGAGGGGGAUGGAAUUCCGCGUGUAGCAGUGAAAUGCGUAGAUAUGCGGAGGAACACCGAUGGCGAAGGCAAUCCCCUGGGCCUGCACUGACGCUCAUGCACGAAAGCGUGGGGAGCAAACAGGAUUAGAUACCCGGGUAUCC